UUAUUUUGUGAAAAUAUGAUUCACAUUAGCGAAAUUGUGUGUUGUGAAGACGACGAGAUCUGAUGCAUAUGAUCUAUUCUCGUAGCCUCAAUCUACUGUCUUGAAGGUAAAGAUCUCUGCAAAUUUAAACAAAAAUCAAAAAAUAAAUUUUCAGUGUACAUAAUAACAAGUCCAUUCAUAUGUGUCCAUAGAGAAACUUUUUUUACUGAGUCAUAUCCAUUCUAUACCAAAUUUUUGUAUAAAUCUGCUCCUUCUACUUCAUUCACCCAAAUAAUCUCUACGUAGAACGAUUCUCUCCCUGAAACCAUAUAAAUAUAUCGUAAUCAUAAAAAAAAGGGGUGAUAACUUUACUAAACAAUAAAACGCACUCGCAGCAAAUCAAAGACAUAGUUGUCCAUUGACAAGUGUCCAAGAAGUCAAGUCCAAAUGGUCAUCUAGUAAUUAACAUAAUCAAUUCAUAUCAAUACACACGAUAAUCAUCAGUUAAAAGUACACCGUCCAUUUUUCUUUGACCAAUAUUUGCUUGUGUAUGGACACAACCAUCAUUAUAAAAUGGAUCCAUACUAUACAUAGAAU
rnacentral:sRNA from 1 species